rnacentral:rRNA from 1 species
GACGAACGCUGGCGGCGUGCUUAACACAUGCAAGUCGAACGGAAAGGCCCUUCGGGGUACUCGAGUGGCGAACGGGUGAGUAACACGUGGGUGAUCUGCCCUGCACUUUGGGAUAAGCCUGGGAAACUGGGUCUAAUACCGAAUAGGACCACGCGCUUCAUGGUGUGUGGUGGAAAGCUUUUGCGGUGUGGGAUGGGCCCGCGGCCUAUCAGCUUGUUGGUGGGGUAAUGGCCUACCAAGGCGACGACGGGUAGCCGGCCUGAGAGGGUGACCGGCCACACUGGGACUGAGAUACGGCCCAGACUCCUACGGGAGGCAGCAGUGGGGAAUAUUGCACAAUGGACGCAAGCCUGAUGCAGCGACGCCGCGUGAGGGAUGACGGCCUUCGGGUUGUAAACCUCUUUCAAUAGGGACGAAGCGCAAGUGACGGUACCUAUAGAAGAAGCACCGGCCAACUACGUG